rnacentral:tRNA from 1 species
CAAAGAAUAGUUUAUUUAAAAUUAUAAUUUUGGAGAUUAUAGAUAAAGAGUUUCUUUUUCUUUGA